UCUCUCUCUCUCUCUCUCAUGCAUACACACACAUUUAAACCACAUGAAUAAUGACACAGGCAUCAGCAAGGCUUCACCAGGAUUAUCCCCAAUGCAACCUUAGUUGUUUUUCUUUUUCUUGGAAGAAGUGGAACCCAAAUUAAAACUAAGAUCUAUAAUUCAAUCCUAUAUUCCACUAGAUACAAAAUGUUUCUAUAUCAAAAUAAAUUUUGCAACUUCCAAAUUAAUAUAAAUCCAAGAAGCAUUAUUAAUUGUAAGGCCUAUUCAACCUUCCAGAAUAAACUUAUAAUCAUAUAUACUAAAUUAAUGCUCUGACAUGGGAACCAGAAUAGCCAACUCUUUUAAAUGCAUCUAUUGGCU
rnacentral:misc_RNA from 1 species